UACACAUUCAUCGGCCAACACAGACUUUACCAUUAGGAAAGAUGAGCUGAUGCUGACUAAACUUCACCAGCUGUUAACCGGGAGAGGAUCGGUGGAUGGUUGCAGAGCUGGUGGAUGAGAUCCGGCCGGUGGCGGGUGAACACGUGAAACUCACGCCGUGCAAGGAAGCAGAAGAUGCGGAUCAAAACUCCAGAUGUGACCCACCUGGCUGACCGCAGCUUUAUCCUCGGCUUAGUGUGUCCAGUGUUAAGGAGGGGGAACCCAAAAAAAGGGCAAAAAUUGGGUUAAGUUAGGUAAUUUACCGGUAAAACGGACGGGAGGAUGGAAGAAAGUGCUCCACACACGCUGCCAGCAGUGUGGAAGUUGGCCUGCAGCAUGAACCGGGCCAAAUAUUAAGUUUUCUAGGAUGGUGAAGGAAUAGCCCCGCCCUCAUCUGCCUCUGAUUGGUUAUUAUGCGUCACCCUCAUUGCACUGAUUGGUUCGAUUUAGAUAAGAGGAGUAUGAUUGGUUAGAGUCACGCAAAGUCGUCAGGCUAAGCCAAUCAGAGGUAGAGUAGGGCGGGUCAUGACUUUACCAUCCUAGGAAAAAAAACAAAAACGUAGAUACAUGUGUUAUGCUGUAUUUGGUGACCAAUCAGAUUAGUGACCUGCAGAGCUCAGCAGAAUGACUUAAUGCACGCGGCUCUUAAAUGAUCAGGUGCAAAAUUUAAAAAAAAUAAAAACACUUCAUUACAUGUCACUAAAUGUGAUGGGUUACCAAACACACUGUAACACCAGGAAGUUUGACGCAACUACACACACAGUGUUUCCGUAUAAUACUAAUCUAACUAAAUAAAAGCCAUUUAAAUGAA